CGAAUGGUACCAGAAAGGACCAUAUCGAUAUGUGGUCAAAGCGCUGAGCAAAAGAUUUAUACCUGAACGCUUGUACCUUUAAAGGACUGAGACGGAAAG
rfam:Desulfosporosinus sp. Tol-M Desulfosporosinus_sp._Tol-M_Contig_bssA, whole genome shotgun sequence.